UCGAGGUUCUAUCGUGCGGUGUGUUAGUGUGAUCGAUUCAUCAAUGGAUCGAGUCAUGCGAGAUGGCUGCUUUUAUUUAUACACCACCGUUCCCAAGGAACUGUAUGUUACCGUCGUCCGAUUAGUUUUUCCUUUUUUUUCUUUUCCUUGGAAGGAACAAAGCAUAUAAUGAGUGAGCUUGCUCAGUCGUCGUCGGCUCUACUGUUCC
rnacentral:lncRNA from 1 species